AUAACGCAGAGGCUGGGGGGAUGAGGAGGGGAAAUGUCGUCCAUAGAAGUAAUUGUUCUGGUGGGCUUCAUCUCUUAACCCUUUGUAGUGUGGCACGAACAAAUCCAUGAAAUGGAGCUUUGACUAAUCAGACGAGAGGUGGAGAUAAAGAAGCUCAUUUCUGCUCAACUAGAUGGAUACUGGGGAUGAAGGAAGCCCUGCUCCACCAUGGCAUGUGUUCACAGCACAUAUUUCUGUCUGUUUCUGGACUCAGAGUCUGGGCAACUUAUGAGGAAGAAGGCUCAACAGUUCAGCGUGGAGAAGUAUCCAGUCGACGAGCCUGAUUUGAAACAUCUAAGGACCUUGCAAGGAAAAAGGAUAUCUCCUGGUGGUCUGGCAAAUCCACCCUGACUCCAUCCAGCGGCUGCAAGAGGCAGCAUGAGAAUGAAACCUCUGAACCUCUGAUAAAGAUCUGUUUUCAGGGCGUUUUAGAGGUGGUGGUGGAGGGGGAAUCCAGUAUAUCUUGGGACCACUGCGUGUGCGCUUGAUUUACCGUGUUAAAGACGAACUUCUGGGGAGGUGAUGCAGCCAGCGACAGAGCACGUGUUUUGAGACAAGAAGGACGGUCUCUGGGCUAUGCUGGUCAUCCAGCACGUGGUGGAUUUUGGUUCCAAUUCUUCUGCCAUGGACCUUACUGAGGGACCUUAGUCAAUCCAUUGCAUGUCAGGCUCUGCAUGGGGAUUGUGGUGUUGCAGUGUCUAAUUUUGCAGUAUUUGUUUUGCAGGUAGUUAAAAAAAAACUAACAAUGUGGGUAAAACCCAUCUGUCUGGGCCACAUGAGAGAAGGGUCAUCCUGACUUGGUCAGCUUGAAAGCAAGUCCAGCUACCUACAUUUCUUCUACAGUUUUCACACUGGAGUGCACCAGAGCUGCUAUCUUAAAUCCCAUCCUCUCCAGAGCUUGACAACUUCAGACCUUGCUUCACAGUUAAGACCUGCCAUCCACAGCCCUUUCCCAGUCUUGUAUUGUAUGCUAAUAUCACACAAAUAAAAAGUUCUACUAAGUGAGAUCCUUCUUUUCCAUUCAAAUUGCUGUUAUUCCCCCAUUUUAUCUGUCCUACUCAUUCUUUUUCUCUAAAAGGAUACCUAUAGAGGUAGAAGAGGCUUGGCCAUUGCCCUCUUCAUAUUUUCCCAGGUAGAGCUACCUCUUGCAACUGUAUUUCAAGAAUUCACUUACCUCCACAAUGCUGUUUUUGUUGUGACUCUUCUAAUCCAAAUACAGAGGGAUCAUUCAUGUACUCUCUAUUUCUCUGGAUUAUAAAGAGAUCCGGAAAGCUAAGAAAGGAUUGCAGAGCCAUCAAGAAAUAGACAUGAUAUAA